rnacentral:sRNA from 1 species
AAGGAUCAUUGUCGAAACCUGCCUAGCAGAACGACCCGCGAACGCGUUGCAAACAACACCGGAGGUGGUGCGGGUGCAUCCUCGCCUCUCGCCACCCCCGUGUCUCGGAGCGGCCAGUCUCGUCGUCCCUUUGCCCGUCGGGUGGGGUGAGAUGCCGGGAUCAACCUCUUCGAGGCAAAGCGAACAAACCCCCGGCGCGAAUCGCGCCAAGGAAUCGAAACGAAAGAAGGGGCACGUCUUCUGUCGCCGCACCGUUCGCGGUGUCGAUGCUUCAGUGAUGUUGUUCUCUUGUCGCAAAAUAUACAGAACGACUCUCGGCAACGGAUAUCUCGGCUCUC